rnacentral:rRNA from 1 species
AGAUUGAACGCUGGCGGCAUGCCUAACACAUGCAAGUCGAACGGGAGUAGCAAUACUCUAGUGGCGGACGGGUGAGGAAUACGUAGGAAUUUGCCCUUAAGUGGGGGAUAACCCGGGGAAACCCGGAUUAAUACCGCAUGACCUCGAAAGAGCAAAGUGGGGGAUCGCAAGACCUCACGCUUUUGGAGAAGCCUACGUCGGAUUAGCUAGUUGGUGAGGUAAUGGCUCACCAAGGCGACGAUCCGUAACUGGUCUGGAGAGGAUGAUCAGUCACACCGGAACUGAGACACGGUCCGGACUCCGUACGGGAGCAGCAGUGGGAAUAUGGACAAUGGGCGCAAGCCUGAUCCGAGACAAUCGGCCGCGUUGUGUAGGAAAGAACGG